AAAUUCCUGCGGUGUUCGUGAAACGGGAAAUGUCUUGAGCCAACGCUGAAAUCCCGCGCAGGGUUGCUCCGGACCGGCAGAAGCGGCAAACGUUGCACAAGCCAAGGCCCGGGAACCCUCAACUCCUAGUAGGAGCGGGUCAAGACACUCCGUUCACGGCAUCGCGGGAUUUUU
rnacentral:other from 1 species